rnacentral:rRNA from 1 species
AUUGAACGCUGGCGGCAUGCUUUACACAUGCAAGUCGAACGGUAACAGGGAGCUUGCUCCGCUGACGAGUGGCGAACGGGUGAGUAAUGCGUCGGAACGUGCCGAGUAGUGGGGGAUAACGCAGCGAAAGUCGUGCUAAUACCGCAUACGUACUGAGGUAGAAAGUGGGGGACCUUCGGGCCUCACGCUAUUCGAGCGGCCGACGUCUGAUUAGCUAGUAGGUGAGGUAAAGGCUCACCUAGGCGACGAUCAGUAGCGGGUCUGAGAGGAUGAUCCGCCACACUGGGACUGAGACACGGCCCAGACUCCUACGGGAGGCAGCAGUGGGGAAUUUUGGACAAUGGGCGAAAGCCUGAUCCAGCCAUGCCGCGAGUCUGAAGAAGGCCUUCGGGUUGUAAAGGACUUUUGUCGGGGAGGAAAUCCCCAGCGCUAAUACCGCUGGGGGAUGACAGUACCUGAAGAAUAAGCACCGGCUAACUACGUGCCAGCCGCCGCGGUAACAC